UUUUCUGGUACGCUGAGACUCAAUGUUUUCUCUUCAACUUUCCACGUUUUGUCGUCAAUUCAGCGGAUGGAAAAACUUGAAAGUCAUAGAGAUUCAAACCAGUCUUCUAUAAGUUGGACCUACCAUGAUGACCUGGUCUAGUAUCACGCAUUACCCUAUAGUCUACAGGGACAAUUACAACAGCUCGUUGCAGCCUUGCAACUACCAACAUGUGACUGAACAACAGAUUCAAACCAAAGUCUGUUAUCAACUGGACCAUACAUGUUGGAUAAACCCUGAUGACCUGGUCUACUGCUGCUUGCACUUCUCUAGUCGCGUGUGGGACAAGUAAAACACCUGUUGCAGCCUUGGAACUAUCAACAUGUGAUGUGAACAAGCAUAUAACAUCAACACUUAGAGCGUUCGUUCUUAGCAGAAUCAGUUGAGAAAGCGUGCUGACGUGGUCUACUACUGUGCACUUCUCUAGUCGCGUGCGGGACAAGUAAGACACCUGUUGCAGCCUUGGAACUAUCAACAGUGAUGCAAACACGCAUAUCACAUCAACACUUAAAGCGUUCAUUCUUAGCAGAAUCAGUUGAGAAAGCGUGCUGACGUGGUCUACUACUGUGCACUUCUCUAGUCGCGUGCGGGACAAGUAAGACACCUGUUGCAGCCUUGGAACUAUCAACAGUGAUGCAAACACGCAUAUCACAUCAACACUUAAAGCGUUCAUUCUUAGCAGAAUCAGUUGAGAAAGCGUGCUGACGUGGUCUACUACUGUGCACUUCUCUAGUCGCGUGCGGGACAAGUAAAACACCUGUUGCAGCCUUGGAACCAUCAACAGUGAUGCAAACACGCAGAUCACAUCAGCACUUAAAGCAUAGGUCUUAGCAGAAUCAGUUGCCUUAUGGUUUUAUCAAAUUUUGCUUGAAAAUGGUUGCAAGACUAUAGCCUUAUGGUUUUAUCAAA